UGGGGAAUUUUGGACAAUGGGGGAAACCCUGAUCCAGCCAUCCCGCGUGUGCGAUGAAGGCCUUCGGGUUGUAAAGCACUUUUGGCAGGAAAGAAACGUCAUGGGUUAAUACCCCGUGAAACUGACGGUACCUGCAGAAUAAGCACCGGCUAACUACGUGCCAGCAGCCGCGGUAAUACGUAGGGUGCAAGCGUUAAUCGGAAUUACUGGGCGUAAAGCGUGCGCAGGCGGUUCGGAAAGAAAGAUGUGAAAUCCCAGAGCUCAACUUUGGAACUGCAUUUUUAACUACCGGGCUAGGGUGUGUCAGAGGGAGGUGGAAUUCCGCGUGUAGCAGUGAAAUGCGUGGAUAUGCGGAGGAACACCGAUGGCGAAGGCAGCCUCCUGGGAUAACACUAACGCUCAUGCACGAAAGCGUGGGGAGCAAACAGG
rnacentral:rRNA from 1 species